GGGAGUCAGACUGCGAGUGAUAAGAUCCGUAGUCGAAAGGGAAACAGCCCAGACCACCAGUUAAGGUCCCCAAAUAUAUGUUAAGUGGAAAAGGAUGUGGGGUUGCUUAGACAACCAGGAUGUUGGCUUAGAAGCAGCCACCAUUGAAAGAGUGCGUAAUAGCUCACUGGUCGAGUGACCCCGCGCCGAAAAUGUACCGGGGCUAAACAUAUUACCGAAACUGUGGAUGAACCUCUUUAGAGGUUCGUGGUAGGAGAGCGUUCUAAGGGCGGUGAAGUCAGACCGGAAGGACUGGUGGAGCGCUUAGAAGUGAGAAUGCCGGUAUGAGUAGCGAAAGAAGGGUGAGAAUCCCUUCCACCGAAUAUCUAAGGUUUCCUGAGGAAGGCUCGUCCGCUCAGGGUUAGUCGGGACCUAAGCCGAGGCCGAUAGGCGUAGGCGAUGGACAACAGGUAGAGAUUCCUGUACCAGUGCUAAUUGUUUAACCGAUGGGGUGACACAGAAGGAUAGGGAAUCGCACGAAUGGAAAUGUGCGUCCAAGCAGUGAGUGUGAGAAGUAGGCAAAUCCGCUUCUCGCGAAGCAUGAGCUGUGAUGGGGAAGGAAAUUAAGUACGGAAGUUCCUGAUUUCACGCUGUCAAGAAAAGCCUCUAGGAAGAGUAGUACUGCCCGUACCGCAAACCGACACAGGUAGAUGAGGAGAGAAUCCUAAGGUGAGCGAGAGAACUCUCGUUAAGGAACUCGGCAAAAUGACCCCGUAACUUCGGGAGAAGGGGUGCUCUAUUAGGGUGCAAGCCCGAGAGAGCCGCAGUGAAUAGGCCCAGGCGACUGUUUAGCAAAAACACAGGUCUCUGCAAAACCGUAAGGUGACGUAUAGGGGCUGACGCCUGCCCGGUGCUGGAAGGUUAAGAGGAGUGCUUAGCUUCGGCGAAGGUACGAAUUGAAGCCCCAGUAAACGGCGGCCGUAACUAUAACGGUCCUAAGGUAGCGAAAUUCCUUGUCGGGUAAGUUCCGACCCGCACGAAAGGCGCAACGAUCUGGGCACUGUCUCAACGAGAGACUCGGUGAAAUUAUAGUACCUGUGAAGAUGCAGGUUACCCGCGACAGGACGGAAAGACCCCGUGGAGCUUUACUGCAACCUGAUAUGGAAUGUUUGUACCGCUUGUACAGGAUAGGUAGGAGCCGAAGAGACGUGUGCGCUAGCAUACGAGGAGGCAAUGGUGGGAUACUACCCUGGCUGUAUGACCAUUCUAACCCGCCACGCUUAGCGCGUGGGGAGACAGUGUCAGGUGGGCAGUUUGACUGGGGCGGUCGCCUCCUAAAGAGUAACGGAGGCGCCCAAAGGUUCCCUCAGAAUGGAUGGAAAUCAUUCGCAGAGUGUAAAGGCACAAGGGAGCUUGACUGCGAGACUGACAAGUCGAGCAGGGACGAAAGUCGGGCUUAGUGAUCCGGUGGUUCCGCAUGGAAGGGCCAUCGCUCAACGGAUAAAAGCUACCCCGGGGAUAACAGGCUUAUCUCCCCCAAGAGUCCACAUCGACGGGGAGGUUUGGCACCUCGAUGUCGGCUCGUCGCAUCCUGGGGCUGUAGUCGGUCCCAAGGGUUGGGCUGUUCGCCCAUUAAAGCGGCACGCGAGCUGGGUUCAGAACGUCGUGAGACAGUUCGGUCCCUAUCCGUCGCGGGCGCAGGAAAUUUGAGAGGAGCUGUCCUUAGUACGAGAGGACCGGGAUGGACACACCGCUGGUGUACCAGUUGUUCCGCCAGGAGCAUCGCUGGGUAGCUAUGUGUGGCAGGGAUAAACGCUGAAAGCAUCUAAGCGUGAAGCCCCCCUCAAGAUGAGAUUUCCCAUUUCUUCGGAAAGUAAGAUCCCUGAAAGAUGAUCAGGUAGAUAGGUUUGGAGUGGAAGUGUAGCGAUACAUGGAGCGGACAAAUACUAAUCGAUCGAGGACUUAACCAAAA
rnacentral:rRNA from 1 species